rnacentral:lncRNA from 1 species
CAAUUUCAAUGCAAGUUAUGUGGAAUGGUUACAAUAUUAUUUAAGUUAAAGAACCAAAAUGCAGAUAAAAGAGUGUGAAAAAUGAAUUUCGUUGAUACAUUUGUCUAUGAAGUAUAAAUUAUUGACGUAUCUUGACCUUGAAAAAUGUUAGAAUAAAUUGUAUGACAGAGAAGAUCUUGAAAGCAAACAUGUUCACCAAUUGUAAGAAUCAUGAAGUAUUGUCCACAAACAACUUACAUUUUCUUGAAGACAUGCUAAUUAGAUCCAAGGUACGCCAUACCAUACUGAACCAGAUAGUACGGAGCAUACCGUACCGUACUAGUUUGGUAAGGUACAUACGGUACACCGGGCAUAUCGACACUCGAUAUGCUGAACCGGCCCCCGUAUCGGAAGUACUGAUACAGUUACGGUAGCACCAGUACAAGGGGCCCGGUACCGAGAUGGCAUAUCUUGAUUUUUAGAUCUCUAGGUCCUUAGUCAUAUUGUUCAUGAAACUAUAGAAGGUUUUGGAAGAGUUUCAAUGUUCAAGAUAAAAUGAAGUUUCCUUUGGUUGU